rnacentral:lncRNA from 1 species
CUGCUGUUUCCAUGGUAACCAGUAUACUCUAAAGCCAAGGAGGAUGACAGUGUAGAAAAGUAUAAAGAAGCCAAAGAGGUUUGCUACGGUUGCUUUUCAUCCACCACAGAGGAAACAGAAUUAUGGAAUCCAGGAGCUGGAGAGGAAUUUACGAGGUCACUAAAUCAUAUGCCCACCUUCAUUAGAGCUGUAGUGAAACAACUGUGGAGAUAAGCAAAUGUCCUUCAUUUAAAGCCACCCAGCACAGACUUCACGAUCUUCUUUGAAAAAGGUUGCAAACUACCAGCAAGGCACCAACAAAGCCUGGGCAAGUUCAACUUGAGUCUCCAGUGGUGGGGAUGUGUUUCAUUAUCCUCCUGGUGCCCUCUGAUGAGGCUUAGACUGUUUCCUGCUCCUUUUUUUUUCUUGAUCAAGACAGAAGACAGCGGACAGUUGGGAUGGAAAGAAAACUGGGACAGAUACUGCCUGUGCUGCCUCUUCCCCUUUCUUCCUGCCUUGAAUGUUGGCAUGAUGUCCAGAGCAGAAACCCAGAUAGUGUUGUGACUCUCAACCAAUGUCAGCAGCCUGUAGUUCCAGAAUCUUUACUGGAGAGGAAGAACUCCACUAUUAGUUGAGUUUUCUUGCAGCCCAAACAUUUCUAACAGAGAAGCCAUCCUGACUCUUGCCUUUAUCUUGAGUGAUUACUAUCUACACAUGGAUUUUCCAAUCAUUAACCUGCCUUUUUCUUACCGAGGGCUGCAACCUUAGAUUCUUAAUCCCCUCUGGACUGUGUACCAAUACAUCCUCCUAACUUUCCCCUGCCCUCAAUCUCUCCCCAAAUUAUAAUCUAUACUUCUUAGAGACUUACAUUUCUAAAACAAAAUAAGAUCAUGUGCCUCAUAACAUGAUACCAUCAGCGCUUCUCCACCGUCCACAGUCUGAAGCCCAGAUUCCUGAGCAGAGCACAUUAAGCCUUCUGUAAUCUUGGUCCUUCCCUCCUCUCCAGCCUCCUCCUUUGCCGAGCCCCUCCCUACACCCCAGCCACACAGAACCUACUUACAGUUUCCCUGGUGUGUCAUAUGCUUCGCAUCCGGUCCAUCUGCUCACCUCCGCCCAGCAGCUCGAUUGCCCGUUCCCUCCCUCCCAUCCCAUCUGGCCUGGUGAAUCCCCAAGUCAUCUUUCAAAGCUUAGUUUAGAGACUUCUAUGAAACUCCUCAAGCCUUUCUCUGUGUAGGACCCCCGAUCCUCUUGCUAGACUUCGUCUACACUCUGCAUAUGUCUGCUGAUAGUGCCUAUUCAUUGGUGCCCUGUUUAUUGACAUCUUCCUACUAUAGUGUGAGCUCUUGGAGGGUGCAGACCAAGUCUUAUUCAUCUUUG